rnacentral:tRNA from 1 species
GGGGGUGUAGCUCAGCUGGGAGAGCAUCACAAUGGCAUUGUGAGGGUCAGGGGUUCGAAUCCCCUCACCUCCA